GAUGAACGCUAGCGAUAGGCCUAACACAUGCAAGUCGAGGGGCAUCACAUGAAGUAGCAAUACGGAUGGUGGCGACCGGCGCACGGGUGAGUAACACGUAUGCAACCUGCCUUCAACAAGGGGAUAACCCGUUGAAAGACGGACUAAUACCCUAUAACACAGGGGUCCCGCAUGGGAAUAUUUGUUAAAGGACAACCGGUUGAAGAUGGGCAUGCGUUCCAUUAGCUAGUUGGCGGGGUAACGGCCCACCAAGGCAACGAUGGAUAGGGGAACUGAGAGGUUUAUCCCCCACACUGGUACUGAGACACGGACCAGACUCCUACGGGAGGCAGCAGUGAGGAAUAUUGGUCAAUGGACGCAAGUCUGAACCAGCCACGUCGCGUGAAGGAA
rnacentral:rRNA from 1 species